CCAUCACUUGCCUAAGUUAUGUGAAAUUACGUAAAUGCAGACGUCGUUUCUUCCUAAAUUGCUAUAUGAAAUAAAAAAUGAGGAUAUUUAUAUUUAAAAUAUUUAAAAAUCGCCCGCCCAUUUUAGUAAUUAUUUUUGACUUAAAUGUUUAUCCGUUUCAUAUCAGUUUUAACGAAAUGUCAUUUAUAUUUACGUGGAUCCACCGUGUAUCGAAUAAUAGAAAUUAUUUUAAUGAUUUGAAGCUUACGUUACAGCGAAAUUUGAAUACUCCUCGAAAAGAUGGCGAAUUAAUUUACAAGCCAAAUAAUUAUCAGAGACAAGCAAAACUAAAGAAUUAUCGAAUUAAUGUACUAACAUAACGUAUGAUUUCUUCAGUCUUUUAUAAUCAACUGUUAUUAUCAGAGGAGAAAAUGGAUGGAUUAAACUUGAUCGGAAAUUCAAUCUCGCCCACGAUACAAUCGAAACCUCGAUAACAGUAUCGUAAACUCGAGUGUCGUUUAAUCGAUUCGCGAUUGACGCGCUCCUACUUCGAGGAUCAAAUUUCCCUAUAAACGUCCGUCUGCUAGUGACAUGCGUAUAUUCGACGAAUUGGGUCGAAUUCGAGUCGAGAAACGACAGCACAGAAUUGAGAAUCGAAUUAAUUAAGAUGCCUGGAGUGGUUUCCACUUUCGUGGUUUUCGUUCUCCGAUUACAUUAAAAACUCAAGGAUUUCUUAAGAAAACUAGGUCUCGAAAAGAAUUCUUCAGAAAGAAACUUAAUUUUAACCUUACAUGAUUAAAUUUGAUCAUGUUUCAGUUAAAUAUCUUCAGAACAUAACACAUUUGCUGCCACGACGGUGAUCAGUAACCCACGUUACUAAAUAUUUUAGCAUCAUUCGAGUAUUAUAGAUUUCAGGAGCUAAAAUUUUUCGACAACGUGAGUGACAUAGAUAAUAUGAAAAAGUGCACAAAUACAAUACAAUAUUUUGCAAAAAUUCAAUAUUAUGGUGUAGUAUAUUUUAAUCUACUGUAACUCCCAUGACACAAGACGUAUAAUAUAUAAAAUUCGCAUGAUAAGCAACAUGUUAAUGUUACACGUUCCUAGCUCUUUCAGAUAGUAAAGGAUUUCUCAGAAAAGAAAAAAGAUAAUAAGAGUAAGUUUUCAAACUGAAGCACAAUCUUCAAGAUUAAAUGAUUUAAUUGUAUCAAGAUUUUAAUUGCAUUUCAGUUAAAAACCUUUAAAACUUAAUGGUAAUUCAUUUCUAGGUCUUUCAGGGAGCAAAAGAUUCCUAGAAAAAAAGAAGAGAUAAUAACUCUUCAAAAAGGAACAUAAUCUUUAAGAUUAUAUGAUCUAAGUUUGAUUGUGUUUCAAUUAAAAAUCUUCAAAUUUUAUGUUAAUUCACUUUUAGGUCUUUCAGAGAGCAAAGGGUUCCUGGAAAAAAAGAGAAAAAUUAAAAAUCUUCAAGGCUUAAUGUUAGUUCAUUUCUAAAUCUUCCAGAGGAUAAAGGGUUUCUUAAAAAAAAGGAGAAGGAAAAUACUGAAAAUUCGCAUAAAUCCCGACAGCUAUGUAUCAAGUAGAAUUGCCGGGAAUUGCCAUGGUAGGACGUUUAUAGCAGAAAUUUGGUGCCGGCCAGAGGAAGCUUGGCGUGCUUUUAAAGAUUGCAUGAGCUACGUUUAGCGGGGAAAAUAACAUGUUGGACAUAAUGUCCGGAAUAUUUUAGUAUUCGGCUAAACGACGAGAAGUUGGGUGUUUUAUGGGGUCGUUACUGUCGCACAGUGUCGAGGACCAUCGUAAAGAAGCGGGCGCAGUCAAGUGAAUUUAAAAUUACGCCGGUCGGCAUUAACGUUUCGUUGAAAUUCUUUUUAACAGCUCUAUUCCAUCGUGACAUACCUAAACUACGACCGACAACCACGCUUGUUUUCCGGAGAAAUUUGCGUGACGAAAAUAGGGAUAAAAGCACAGCGUAGAUUAACGAUAAUUAAAUAACGCGAGUAUCUGGAACCACGACGAUUUAAUUCACUUUCACUUACCUUACACAAAUUACUUUAUUUAAAUGUAAAAGUCUGUAAUUUGUUUUAUGAAAUAUUACGAGACGUAAUUGUUCAUAUUUUUAUUGUCGUGAUUCCAAUACUGAUGAGUAGCCUGCGGACAUUUAUGAGAAAUAUAUAUUUUUAUAAACAUAAUUAAUCUCAAUAGAAUCUGAAUAUUAAUGAAAUCUGAAUAGAGCAUUGUUUUGCCUAUUAAAUAUUAUAGAACAAAGAAUACUGUACUUUCUCUAUUUGAUAUAUUUUUGCAUAUUAUACGCAUUCUAUGCAAAUCUGCUCUUUUAAAUUUCUCAUAAACACAUAAAAAUCCGUAGUCUACUUAUGAGUGAAUUGGAUCACUGAACGAGCGUCUUUUAAAUAAUAUUUAUUCUGAUUUUAAAAUAUAUGCACAACAGCUUAGGUGUUAUUCACAA
rnacentral:lncRNA from 1 species